CUACUUGAUGAAAACAUGCCUGAAUAGUGAUGAAAAUGAGAUGAAGAAAAAUUUGAAAAUCGAAACACCACACGCAAGACAAUAUAGCUAUUACAGAAGGAGUGUCUGGUCUUCAUGGCUUCUUGUGUUGUUAAAAUUCUUAGGGUCUGCGAACAGAAAGAAUUGAGUUGUAUAUCGCCGCAAUGAUUAUAGAAAUGAAAAAGAAAUUGACUACAGGUACAGUAAAUCGUACGAUGCCUGUUAUGAAAAGCCAUCUAAUCUGCGCAGAAAAA